AUGGAAGCUUUGCCUGAGUGGUUGGGCAACCUUUCUUCUGUUCGAAGCUUGCAUCUUUGGAAAUGCAUGAAUCUUAUGUAUCUGCCAACAGCGGAAGCGAUGCAACACCUCACCGAAUUAAAUAUUUAUGAUUGCCCCAAAUUAAAGGAAAGAUAUGUGAAGGGAAGCGGCGCAGAGUGGCUCAAAAUUGCCCAUAUUCCAGAUAUCUUUCUCCCCUGAAAACGGAUUAAAGGGUAGUUGUGCAUAUUGGUCCAAGACAGAUCAGAGUGGGAAAAAAAAAAAGAGGAAAGUUCUCCUAUUCAAGAGCUGCAAACGAUCAAAAAUCAAGGGCCGCUCACCAAAUUAGAGAAGUUGAAGAUAUUUUUGGUCAAAGUAAUACAAAAACAAUGUGAGGAUUCUACGCCAUUCUAAGCUCUGAUUUUCAAUCAGCCAAACUUUGACACCCAAGAACUUUCUUAGUUGGAGGGGUCAUAUUUUGAGGAUCUUUACUUUGCACAGAUGAGGCGUCAAUGGUGGCUUCUGAUUUGGCACAGGGUUAACUUUUUCUCUCUUCAAGAUCAGAAUAUUGGGUACAAGAAUGCUGCUUUCAGGGAACCAAGCAAGAGGACCAAUCCCUUACUAAAGAGAUGCUCUCUGGAGUUGUUUCUGGUGGUCAAUAGUUCGGUAGAAGUUAUUGCCGUGUUAUGCUCACUUUACAGUAAAAGCUGAAUAUUUCAUGUUGGUUGCUGUCAGAAUUGUUAACGAUUGCACAGAGUCUAAUGGGGUAUGAAUUUAAUUACUAUCUGAGUGAAGUUCAUCAAAAUUAAGUGGUUGGGAAACCUUUUCUCUCUUCAACAUUUGAUACUUAUUUGGAUGCAAGUGGUUGCCAUGGAUUGGCUCACCAAUUUGCAAGACCUAUUCUUUCAUAACUGCCUCAAGUUAAAUGAUAGAAGCGCUGAGAGUAUCGAUCAAUUCUGGUCCAAUGACAGGGAAUGGAUUUAAGAGGAAGCUGUUUGAAGUUCACACAUAUAUUAUCACAACAAUUUGUGGCCAAACUCCAUUACAUUCAGUUGGAAGAACAAUUAAUUAAUUUUACGGAGUUCAUUAGAAGUUUGUCAAAGGUGGGGAAGAUUCUAUUUAGGAGCAACAUAUAGGAAUUAUGUGAUUGCACAAAGCUGAAGUACCCAUACAUUGGCUCACCACAUUAUUACAUAACCAAGAGGAAGUAUGUGGCAAAUAUAACGCCUCAGGUUUUCUAGUAGCAUCUUGAAGUUUAUGUGAUAUCAGGAUGUGGCAAUUUGCUAUUUCUUGCAUAACAUUUUUACUUUCUUCAAGUUUUUCGCAUUAUUUGGGCAUAAUUUUUUUGUAGGAAGAAAUGGUACUUUCAACUUAGGUCCUCUAAUGUGCGAAUAGGUUUGGGUACUUAAGCUGUCUAAUUCUCUUUCUUGUGAAGUUUUUGUUAUUUUCUUUUUUCUUGCCCUUCCCCCAACAUAAUAGAAUGCAUAAAAUGGGUUUUAUUUUAUUUUAUUUUAAAAAUAUUAUAAUAUUGCUUGCAUACGUGUCAUCAAGAAAGUUUUGAUUCCCACAAAAUUAUGUUUAUUUUCCCAAUAUUAUAUGUUCUUGCGCUUUAGCCAAUCAUUAGGUUUUCUUAUAUACUUUUAAUAACUUGAUCAAUAAUUGCUCUCUUUUCUGAAAAAGUUAGAAUGCACUAAGCAUGAUAAACAUAUGCUAGAAUUUUGAAAUACAAUCAAGGAUCGGUAAUUACCAAGCAUUAUGUCAUAUUCAAAAAUGAAAAAUAGACUCUUUACAUCAAUACUUGCCAUAAUGUGCUCUUCUUGAUGAAGGAAAAGGCAGGGGAGAGAUGGAAUAUGAUAUUUCCUGCUGAACUUAGUCAAGGCAGUAAGGAUAGGAACAAUUCAUUUUCUUCCCCUACUUAUUAUAAAUUCCUACAAAAGUUUAUGGUGAGUAAAUGUCAUUUCAUCUUUUUUAUAUUGAUACCUAUUUAUAUCAUUAGUUGGAGUCACUAAAUGUUGAUGAUGUUGGAUCCUUUCUGGAGUGGUGGGUGAUGUAGAAUAGAGCUCAUUAGAAGUCUGUGUGCAGAAAAUUCAAGAAGUGGAAAAGUACUAUUAGAAGUCAUUGGAGAUAACAGCAAAAUUGCAUGAAAUUUGGUGACACGAAGGGAAAUGGUGCUACUCAUAGCCUUCGGCCACGAUCAAACCUACUUUUUGGCUUCUGCAACAAUAGUGGGGCAGCUUCAUAUCUUCUAAAUAAAUGAAGCCUAAGAACAAGAAUGCACUACCUUCUAGUAAAGAGAGGUGUGAUCCCUCUCAAUGGAAACCUAAGAGGAAGAUUUGGCACAAUGGUUGAGGAUUUAUUUUAACUUAUAAUCUUGUGAAGCCUUAGAUUAUAGACAAAAGAUCGGUCAUAAUCCAGAAAUCACAAAAGGCGGACUUACAAAUUGAUUCUAGUGCUUUUUUUUUCCUCUCACUAAAAUUUAUUUGUAGAUGACCUUAAAGUCCAAUUUGCUGUACAGAUUGCACUAUAAGGAAGUAUAACUUUAGAUUCAAAUCAAAUUAAACGAGAGGGUUAGCAUCUUCUUUCUUUUGGGAUCAAAUUAUAAUGUUGGGUCAGCUGGAACCAUAACUUGAAUGUACCUGCAAGUGUCAAUUGGGUGUAUUAGGAUUCCUGACAAUUUGUCUGCUGUUCAAAUCCUAUUUUAUGGUUUCCUAACUUAAAGUCUCUGUAGCAGUGACUUCAGCAAUUUUCUAGACUAUGAGAUGUCUGCAAGAAAUUGAAGUGCUCAAUUAAGAAGAGCAACUCGAAACUCAAUUUUGAUGCAUUUUUUUGUUGUCUAAGAUCCAGUUAUGCACUAAGAAAUACAUCUGGUGACUAGGCAUCUUGAACACUUGACUGAUUGUUAAAAUCAUUUCACAGAUAAUCACUACUACAAAUCUCUGCAAAGAGCAUAUAACAGUCUGAAAAGUUGACAGUUUUUAACUUAAAUGGGUAAAUAUGAAGUCCACUUCCAGAAGGGAAUAGUUAAAAGCGCUGGAUAUUCACUCUUUAGUGCCAUUCUAGUUUUUGAUUCCGUGGGCUGGUAUCUUGGAAAACAUCAAAAGGUAAUGCCAAUUGCAUCAGAAUGUGAAGUGUGCUGAUCAGCAGAGACAUCAUUGCUGCCUGUAUUUAAGACUCCAAUCUUGAUAAUAGGUGACCUCAUCUGCCACGACAAUAGAAUGUCUUCUCUAGGAACUGACUUUAUAUACUGAAGGCAUUGAAAUUUAUCUUCGACCUACAGCCGAAGUAAGGGAGAUAUGGCAAGCUACAAUGAUCCAUAUUGCCCAAGAAGGUGGAUGCUUUGUUCUAUCUUCGAACCAAUUCUGCAGAAAGGGAAGACUAUCCACUGUCAACAGAAACGUAUGUCAAUACAAUAAGAAGUAUUGCACAUGGUGUUUUUUUAUUAUUAUCCAGUUGUGACCAUUUUGGCUGAACCUAAUUUCCAAGGGAGUCUCUCAUCCUAAACAAUCUUUUCCUCUCUUAAUGUUCCAGAACUUGGAGGGUGUUUGAGCAAAGCUAGAUUUUAGUGGAAAUAGGCAUCGAGUGGGACCAAACUCAGUCAAUCUUACUCUGAAUAUAUUCAAUCCAAUUUCUUUUACAACUUCUUUCAAAGCGGAAGUUCUUGAUGAGCUGCAAUUAAGACUUAGCUGUGUAAAAAGUUAUUAAAUAAAUUUCUUCUUGUUGUCCUCUUGCCAAACAGCUAAUCUAGGCUUUGUAUAUAUCCAAUAUCUUU